rnacentral:rRNA from 1 species
UACGUAGGCAGCGAGCGUUGUUCGGAAUUACUGGGCGUAAAGAGUGUGUAGGCGGUGUUCCCAGUCUGUUGUGAAAUCUCCCGGCUUAACUGGGAGGGUGCAGCGGAAACUAGAAUGCUAGAGGGUGGGAGAGGUAAGCGGAAUUCCUGGUGUAGCGGUGAAAUGCGUAGAUAUCAGGAGGAACACCUGUGGUGUAGACAGCUUACUGGACCACUUCUGACGCUGAGGUGCGAAAGCGUGGGGAGCAAACAGG